rnacentral:rRNA from 1 species
UACGUAGGGGGCAAGCGUUAUCCGGAUUUACUGGGUGUAAAGGGGGCGCAGACGGCGAUGCAAGCCAGGAGUGAAAGCCCGGGGCCCAACCCCGGGACUGCUCUUGGAACUGCGUGGCUGGAGUGCAGGAGGGGCAGGCGGAAUUCCUGGUGUAGCGGUGAAAUGCGUAGAUAUCGGGAGGAACACCGGUGGCGAAGGCGGCCUGCUGGACUGCAACUGACGUUGAGGCCCGAAAGCGUGGGGAGCAAACAGG